rnacentral:rRNA from 1 species
UUAAGCAUAUCACUAAGCGGAGGAAAAGAAACUAACAAGGAUUCCCCUAGUAACUGCGAGUGAAGAGGGAAAAGCCCAGCACCGAAGGUAGUAUCCGUUUGGGUACCUACCAAUGUGGUGUUUUGGUCAGCUCGUAUGAGUGCGGCUCCAUCUCAAGUCCAGCAAUGAGUACGGUUUUUUGGACUUGGCCCAGAGCGGGUGAAAGGCCCGUUGAGGUGGAGAUCAGGUAUGUCCGCGCUUGUCGUGUUUGACCAUGGAGUCGGGUUGUUUGUGAAUGCAGCCCUAAGUGGGUGGUAAACUCCAUCCAAGGCUAAAUACUUGCACGAGUCCGAUAGCGAACAAGUACCGUGAGGGAAAGUUGAAAAGUACUUUGAAGAGAGAGUAAACAGUGCGUGAAGCCGCAUAGAGGUUAAACGGGUAGAGUUAAGCUGCGUGGAUCAUGGAUUCAGCUGGUGAACUUGACUUGUGCUUGGGCACAUUGUAUCGUCUUCUGAGUCUGCUUAACUGCAGGUUCCAGGUCUCCUGGGAUAUGUGAUGCACUAGCUAGUGAUGCAUACUUGGUUGAUGAGAUGUCGGUUCGUUGGUGCACUUCCAUGGUUCCUUGACCACGAUCGGUGUCGUUGAAUUGCCCUCGUUGUCAAACUGUGGAUGUAGGCUUCCACCUAUGUCCUCGGUGUGACAGCACCCCUGCGAAUGCAGGUCGCAGUUGUCAGCGGGAAGUAAUUCAGUGGACCGGGACAGCGGCCUUGGUUGCCCUUGCAUGCUCUGCUAGAUGACGUUGGGUAUGGUUAUUUGUGUGCCUGUGCAAACAGGCCCUGUGACUACACAAUGUUAUCUAGUUUGGGUAUUGUUUGGGAAUCCUUAUUAUGGGCCAAAGUCAGUGGUGUGUGGUAAACUUUCUACCCGACCCGUCUUGAAACACGGACCAAGGAGUUUAACAUGUGCGCGAGUCAUUGGGCCAUCCGUAACCCAAAGGCGAAGUGAAAGUGAAGGUUUGCUUUUGCAGACUGUGGUGAGAUCCUGUCGUCUCCUGUGCCACCAAGCAUUCGAACGGCAGGCGCAUCACCGGUCCGUCCAAUAAUGUGGUUGAGAUCUAUGGUUUCACAUCAUUGGGGCGGAACAUGAGCGCACACGUUGAGACCCGAAAGAUGGUGAACUAUGCUUGCGCAGGUUGAAGCCAGGGGAAACCCUGGUGGAGGACCGCAGCGAUUCUGACGUGCAAAUCGAUCGUCAAACGUGAGUAUAGGGGCGAAAGACUAAUCGAACCAUCUAGUAGCUGGUUCCCUCC